rnacentral:misc_RNA from 1 species
GAUGAAGAACGCAGCGAAAUGCGAUAAGUAAUGUGAAUUGCAGAAUUCAGUGAAUCAUCGAAUCUUUGAACGCACAUUGCGCCCGCCAGUAUUCUGGCGGGCAUGCCUGUUCGAGUGUCAUUUCAACCAUCAAGCCCCCGGCUUGUGUUGGGGACCUGCGGCUGCCGCAGGCCCUGAAAAGCAGUGGCGGGCUCGCUGUCACACCGAGCGUAGUAGCAUACAUCUCGCUCUGGGCGUGCUGCGGGUUCCGGCCGUUAAACCACCUUCAUAACCCAAGGUUGACCUCGGAUCAGGUAGGAAGACCCGCUGAACUUAAGCAUAUCAAUAAGCGGAGGA